rnacentral:rRNA from 1 species
UGGAACUAUUAAAGAAUUUCGGUCAUCGAUGGGGGAUGCGUUCCAUUAGGUUGUUGGCGGGGGUAACGGGCCCACCAAGCCUUCGAUGGAUAGGGGUUCUGAGAGGAAGGGUCCCCCACAUUGGAACUGAGACACGGUCCAAACUCCUACGGGAGGCAGCAUG